AGCGAACGCUGGCGGCAGGCCUAACACAUGCAAGUCGAACGAACCUUUCGGGGUUAGUGGCGGACGGGUGAGUAACACGUGGGAACGUGCCUUUAGGUUCGGAAUAACUCAGCGAAACUUGUGCUAAUACCGAAUGUGCCCUUCGGGGGAAAGAUUUAUCGCCUUUAGAGCGGCCCGCGUCUGAUUAGCUAGUUGGUUGAGGUAAUGGCUCACCAAGGCGACGAUCAGUAGCUGGUCUGAGAGGAUGCUCAGCCACAUUGGGACUGAGACACGGCCCAAACUCCUACGGGAGGCAGCAGUGGGGAAUCUUGCGCAAUGGGCGAAAGCCUGACGCAGCCAUGCCGCGUGAAUGAUGAAGGUCUUAGGAUUGUAAAAUUCUUUCACCGGGGACGAUAAUGACGGUACCCGGAGAAGAAGCCCCGGCUAACUUCGUG
rnacentral:rRNA from 1 species